rnacentral:rRNA from 1 species
UCGCGCUAAUACCUCAUAAUGCAGCGGAUCCGCAUGGUAAAUGUUGUUAAGGUUUACCGCCUUGGGAUAGGCUUGCGUCUGAUUAGCUAGUUGGUGUGGUAACGGCACACCAAGGCUACGAUCAGUAACUGGUCUGAGAGGAUGAUCAGUCACACUGGAACUGAGACACGGUCCAGACUCCUACGGGAGGCAGCAGUGAGGAAUAUUGGGCAAUGCUCGAAAGAGUGACCCAGCAACGCCGCGUGGAGGAUGAAGGUAUUCUAUAUCGUAAACUCCUGUGAGAGCAGACGAAAGACAGAUUAUUAAUCUGGAUGACUGUAUGCUCAGAGGAAGCCCCGGCUAACUACGUG